rnacentral:sRNA from 1 species
AACGCGCUGUUAGAUAUAGGGUGUGAACCCUAGCUAGGGUUCAGCCGAGCGAAGCGAGACAACAACGGCUCUGCCGUUGGCCCGAAGGGAGAGGGCGCGUAGCGACCGAAUCAAUCCCUAUUGCUCCGCCA